GUCCUAGCUUCGGCUGGACAUGUACUAAAAUUGGAACGAUACAGAGAAGAUUAGCAUGACCCCUGCGCAAGGAUGACACGCAAAAUCGUGAAAAAAAACCCUGUAAA